rnacentral:lncRNA from 1 species
UGGUGCCUAACCCGCUGUGCAUAGAGGCAUUGGGACAACAUCUUGUCACAGCCUGUUGCAAGUGGUGUGUACCUUUUGGGUUAAUCAUUGGAUAUGCUGCCCCUCAGUAAUUUGUCAGCAUUUCCUUAUAAGAGCUUCAAGGAGGCAGAUGUUUUCUGGAAGGAAUCAGCAAAAGAUAUUGACAACUUUAUUGCACACUGAGUUUCUCUUGCACUACGGUUCUGACUGAUGUAGCCAAGGCUGAGCUUCGCCCUCUGAAUAAUGUAUUAAUUUCUCUUCAAGGAGUGGAAGUCUAGAGACUAAUUUCUGUAAGUAUUGUGCUUCUAGUUACCAUCAACAGAAACAUUUCAUUCCAGCUGAAUAUCAGACGGCAGCCUCAGAUGUCUGCAUGCAAUACACCACAAUUUGCCUAGUGGAAGCUGUGCACCCACCUAAAAGCAGACUGGAGUGGAGGUUGUCCUGACUGGAACAGGAGGUUUCUGCCUGCUAUUGCUGGGAUAUCUCACUGGUUUAGAGUUUUACGAUGCUCAGACUAGGGAAAAAAAAUCACCAUGAGCAACCAACUGUAGGGAAGUGUUUUGUUGAUAGCAGAAUCUGUUUUUCACUGCUGACUUGCUUUAAAUUCAAUAAGAAUGUUACUUAAAUAGAGCUAAAUAGUACAGACAAGGGGGAACAAUUAAAAACAAUACUUUAAAUAGGCUUAAGUAAAAAAAAAAAAUAUGUUUUUCUCCUGUUCUGAUAGCUGAAGAGACCCAGCCUGCUCAGAAUGACAUAUUGGCCUUGCUUUUGUGGACAGCAGGAAAACAUAUAUGGCCUAACUCGUGCAGUUUGCACCGGGAGGAGGAAGCAAAUGUUUGCAGUGUUCAUGGAGCAGCUGGAUCCUGCACAGCACGGACUCCAACACAACAGAGCUGUGCAGUGCUGCCGAUCCCGUGUGAUCCCCAGGCUGAUAGCGUGGUUUGAGGCUUUUAAUGUUGUGCUUCCUGGGAAGGAAACCCUUAAAGGAUGCUGCGUGGAAGGAAUCUGCAUGCAGUUAACAGCAACCUGUGAAGGAUCAGGUGGUGGUGAUUUUAGUGCCAUGGGCUUGGGGGAUUGACUUGAAACGAUAAAAAGUCAUGUGAGCUCUUGCUUACUGUCGGAUAAGUACAGCUCAAUUUGGCUGAAGUCAAGUGAGUUACUCCGGGACUACCUUAAUGUAAAUGAGAGAAUAAUUUGUCCCCUUAGGACUCUCGUGUGUUGCUUUGCAUUUAUUUCAUUUGAUGAUAUUUUGUACUCAUGAUUUGCAAGCGUAAACGAGAGGGCACAGGGCAGGACGGCAGGGGGUCAGGGCCCCGCUUUGGGCAUAUCUAGGCUGGAGAGUUUGGUCCCUGUUUGCAUUUAAGCGAGUUGAUUGCUCGUUAACCUGAGUUUGCUAAUGUGUGUAAGUGCUUGUCUAGCUCAUCUACAGGCACUUGUUCCAGGAUGCGACGCCGAACUGGACUGGGUUAUGGAGAGGCUAAGCCAGAUGUUAGCUUGCAUUGGCAGUCCCUAAUUUCUGCCUAAGCUCUCCCAGCCAUGGGGCUUCUCAACUGCUGCUGAUUUUGAACUGUGCAAUACUUAAAGGGUUUUUUAGGUACUGCAGCACCAGUCCACAAGCACUCAGGUGCUCUGCCAGACCCUGCGAGGAGCCCUACCCUGGGGAUGAGGUCUUGAGCCUUUGGUCUGAGCAGGUCUCCCUGGGAGCUGGGGGGGGGGUGAUACGGUGACAGGUAAGUGCCUCUGCUCUGCUUUUCCUCUCUGUGUUGUCUUGGGUGGUGUGGGACAUAGCACUGGCACUCCUGCAGUGACUGAUUACCCACCUGCCAGCCUCUGUUCACGCCCUGCACACUUGUAGGAGCGCUUAGUAGAGGAGCUCGGUGCUGGCACUAGCAUUGCUGGGAAAGCCAUGAACACAGCUACACUGCUGCAGGGGGGCCCUUACCAUGCAGGAACAGAUUUUUAGGGCAGACAAACACACGUACCACACAGGAUGAGGCGUGGGGCAGAGCAGCCCCUGCAACCCCUGCCCUGCAGCCAGCUCAGGCUUGCAGGGCUGGCACUGUGCUGUACGUACCACAUGUCAGCGCUGCAUCGGGAGCUCAACACCCUUUGGUUUGCAGCGAUGGCCUCUCUGCUGGCAGCUCGUGCUGCCAGAGCCUCAGUUCUGCAAACUGACAAGGUAACAGGUAAAGUUUUCCAUCCGGCGCUUCCCGUGAAUUCAUUUUACUUUGAAGGGCAUGAGAAAGCAACAAAAGGUUAGAGGAGACGAUGACAUUUUUUAAACUGAAAAUGUAAUUGCAAUUUUCCUCUGAGGCUUGUAAAUAUGCUCUCAACUAUAAAUAGGCUAUUUCCAUCACUUUUAUAAGGCUCUUAAUUCAUUUAUCAGUGAUCACGGUAAAUGCAGCUCCACACCUUUCUGACACGCUCAGCGCGGUCUCCUUGAGGUGCAGCACACAGGACUUGGCAGGAGCGGAUCUUUGUGGAUGGAACAGGGAGAAGGGAAAGCAUAUUUUCAGCCACAGUUUAUUUUCCUGCCCUACAAUUCAGUAGCCACCAACAGACAGCUUAAUAUGCAAGGGUGUUUUUCACGUCCCCAGAAAAGAUGCUCCCUCUGCAACUGCAGCGUGCAUUUAGGUUUUUGUCUGUUGGCACAACAGCUGUAAAGGUUUUUGAUGCACGGGGGUCAUCAGAGAAGAGAUUGAUACCAUGUAGAGCUGUUAAUGCUGGUUAUAGAAAAGUAACAUUGUGAGUGAGGAAAAGCGGAAGGUGGUUUUAAGAAUAUCCUGGGGAAGGUUUAUGAGCUGAGAACAUUAGGUUGGAGCCCAGACAGGGUGCUGCUUUCUCAGCCCCUUGGUCCUGGGGCCUGUUUUCUCAGGUCUUUGCUCUUUCUCUAGGGUUGAACACACGCCAGGGCCAUGGCACCGUGUUGCACUGCUCACUGAGAUGUUGUGCCUUGAGACAGGCAGAGCCCCGAGAGGUCUUUGGCCGUGCUUCACAUCCCCAGGUGCUGCUGUGUUUGUGCUGCAGUGCCCUGCAGGACAGAGCUGCCCUGGGAACUAUUAGCAAGUGCUGUGUGUAUGCGUGUGUGUUUAGGAUUUGGUUUGAAUUUCUGCUUUUUUAUUGUUCAGUCACCAUCUUGUACCUUUAAGCACCUUUCCCUUUUAAAACCUGAACUUGUACUUGAAAUAUUGCUAUUAAUUUUGCUUUUAUUUUUUGUUUGUUUGUUUUAAAUACAAAAAACAAUGGAGAAAAUGACAAACUAGGUGUGAAGUAUUUGUGAAAAUACAAAAUGGCAUGGUAUAAAGAGUGCGGCAAAACAAUACUUGAUUAAUAACAGCUAUAACCAUAAAACCAUCAAUUGGUUAAGAGUCUCUUAGCCUUAUGAUUAAUAGUUCACUCAAAAUCUUAACAGAAAGACUGCAAAAUUAAUCUUAAAAAUGUAAUGCUGUAGAUGAGUUGCUGAAAAACUGUUGUUGAAAUAGCUUUAAAAUAGUUUAUAUGUUAAAAGCUACAGUAGAUUGAAGGCUUUGGGUAGAAAUCCAUGUAUAUUUUGGCAUUUAGGUAUAGAGACAUAGGACUACUUGUAGCCCAAAGUGCGAAAUGAGUGUAAGGUGAGAGAGCACGGAGACAUUUUACGGCUCCUUAGCUUCAAAGUGCUAAAAAUCCACCCGAAGAGGCACCCGCUGUGUGGCUGGCAUUUGCAUGCAAUUCCAUAUUCAUGCACUCUCUUCUUUCCAAGUGCUGCGUUCAGCCCCCAUUAAAAGGGAGCUAGGUGAGUCUUAGCACCCUUGGUUCCUUAGCGUAAGAAUAUUAUUCUUGUCCCCAGCACUUCCUCUCCAUGCACGCCUGAAGCUCCCCCAGGAGAGAUGGGCAUCCAAGGCACCAAGUGAUUCUAGCCCUGCUCAUGCCAUGGUGGCCAUCUGGCCUGAAGCUUGAAAUCCUUUUGUUCUUAAAGCUUGGUUUUGGCUUUUUUCUUUUCUUAAAGAACUUGAACGGAACAGGACUUAGAGUUUUUGCAGGUUUUAAUGAUGAUUAUUUAGACUUUUUAGCAAGAUUAUUUAAACAUGGUGGCUUGUGCUCAUAUUUAGGGAUAUAAUGCAGAGCCUAAGACAACAACAGCAAGUGCUGUUCCAAAGUAGCUUAAAAAUCCUCCUGGGAAAAGUAUCUCCCAUCCCAGAUGGCCCCUGUAUUUAUUGUCAUUACAGCAUCAUUCCCCACAGAAGAAUGUGAUUCCUCUUGAGAAAUAAAACCCCAGAACCUGACA